rnacentral:rRNA from 1 species
CGCGGCCUAUCAGCUUGUUGGUGCGGUAGUGGCGCACCAAGGCUUUGACGGGUAGCCGGCCUGAGAGGGCGGUCGGUCACAUUGGGACUGAGAUACGGCCCAGACUCCUACGGGAGGCAGCAGUGGGGAAUUUUGCACAAUGGGCGAAAGCCUGAUGCAGCGACGCCGCGUGAGGGAUGACGGCUUUCGGGUUGUAAACCUCUUUCAGUAGGGAAGAAGCGAAAGUGACGGUACCUGCAGAAGAAGCGCCGGCUAACUACGUGCCAGCAGCCGCGGUAAUACGUAGGGCGCAAGCGUUAUCCGGAAUUAUUGGGCGUAAAGAGCUCGUAGGCGGUUUGUCGCGUCUGCCGUGAAAGUCCGGGGCUCAACCCCGGAUCUGCGGUGGGUACGGGCAGACUAGAGUGAUGUAGGGGAGGCUGGAAUUCCUGGUGUAGCGGCGAAAUGCGCAGAUAUCAGGAGGAACACCGGUGGCGAAGGCGGGUCUCUGGGCAUUACCUGACGCUGAGAAGCGAAAGCGUGGGGAGCAAACAGGCUUAGAUACCCUGGUAGUCCACGCCGUAAACGGUGGGCACUAGGUGUGGGGGACAUUCCACGUUCUCCGUGCCGAAGCUAACGCAUUAAGUGCCCCGCCUGGGGAGUACGG